rnacentral:rRNA from 1 species
CGGGACGGGUGAGUAAUGUCUGGGAAACUGCCUGAUGGAGGGGGAUAACUACUGGAAACGGUAGCUAAUACCGCAUAACGUCGCAAGACCAAAGAGGGGACCUUCGGGCCUCUUGCCAUCGGAUGUGCCCAGAUGGGAUUAGCUAGUAGGUGGGGCAAUGGCUCACCUAGGCGACGAUCCCUAGCUGGUCUGAGAGGAUGACCAGCCACACUGGAACUGAGACACGGUCCAG